AUGAACGCUGGCGGCGUGCUUAACACAUGCAAGUCGAACGAAGACAUCUGAGUGCUUGCACUUGGAUGGACUGAGUGGCGGACGGGUGAGUAACGCGUGGGUAACCUGCCUUAUACAGGGGGAUAACAGUUGGAAACGACUGCUAAUACCGCAUAAGCGCACGGUAUCGCAUGAUACAGUGUGAAAAACUCCGGUGGUAUAAGAUGGACCCGCGUCUGAUUAGCUAGUUGGUGAGGUAACGGCCCACCAAGGCGACGAUCAGUAGCCGACCUGAGAGGGUGACCGGCCACAUUGGGACUGAGACACGGCCCAGACUCCUACGGGAGGCAGCAGUGGGGAAUAUUGCACAAUGGAGGAAACUCUGAUGCAGCGACGCCGCGUGAGUGAAGAAGUAGUUCGCUAUGUAAAGCUCUAUCAGCAGGGAAGAUAGUGACGGUACCUGACUAAGAAGCUCCGGCUAAAUACGUG
rnacentral:rRNA from 1 species